GUCGGUAAUCACAAAUAAUGUCAGGUUGAGAUUUUCUGUAAUGCAAAUACGUAAUUUUUCGUACAAGAACUAUAAUGGUCUAAGUACUGAUAUCAACACUAUUAACCCACAAUUCUAUGCAGCUAAUUACAAAUAGGAGCAGUACAAAUAUCAAAAUAAGGAAAUGUGGUAUGACUGCCAAGCAGACAACUAUCUAACCAGGACCAAAUUAAA
rnacentral:lncRNA from 1 species